AAUCAACGCUGGCGGCGUGCCUCAGACAUGCAAGUCGAACGAUUAAAGCUCUCUUCGGAGAGUGCAUAGAGUGGCGCACGGGUGAGUAACACGUAAGUAAUCUACCUUCGAGUGGGGAAUAACGUCCGGAAACGGACGCUAAUACCGCAUAAUGCAGCGGCAUCGUAAGAUGACAGUUGUUAAAGAUUUAUCGCUUGAAGAGGAGCUUGCGGCAGAUUAGCUAGUUGGUAAGGUAAUGGCUUACCAAGGCUACGAUCUGUAACCGGUCUUAGAGGACGGUCGGUCACACUGACACUGAAUAACGGGUCAGACUCCUACGGAGGCAGCAGUCGGGAAUUUUGGGCAAUGGGCGAAAGCCUGACCCAGCAACGCCGCGUGAAGGAUGAAGUAUUUCGGUAUGUAAACUUCGAAAGAAUAGGAAGAAUAAAUGACGGUACUAUUUAUAAGGUACCGGCUAACUACGUGCCAGCAGCCGCGGUAAU
rnacentral:rRNA from 1 species